AGCAGCCGCCGCGGUAAUACGUAGGGGGCAAGCGUUAUCCGGAAUUACUGGGUGUAAAGGGAGCGUAGACGGUUAAACAAGUCUGAAGUGAAAUGCCGGGGCUCAACCCCGGAGCUGCUUUGGGAACUGUAGAACUGGAGUGUCGGAGGGGUAAGCGGAAUUCCCAGUGUAGCGGUGAAAUGCGUAGAUAUUGGGAGGGACACCGGCGGCGAAGGCGGCUUACUGGACGACAACUGACGUUGAGGCUCGAAGGCGUGGGUAGCAAACAGGAUUAGAUACCCGGGUAGUCCCUGUCUCUUAUAC
rnacentral:rRNA from 1 species